rnacentral:lncRNA from 1 species
UUUUCUGCUGUAUAAAGAACAGUUGCUUGUUCCUGGUGCUCCCCAGGGUAAGGCUGACACAACAAGGUUCUGCAAAACUUAACUACAGCUGUGGCAUUUCCACCUGAUGUCACAGUGUCAGAAAACACACCAAAGAGUUUCCUCCAGCUUGAAAACUUCUGUUGACACAGGCUUCUCUCUCAAGAGCCUCUUCUGACACCACACCAGUGGUAGCUGCACUACACAAGAAUUAAGGCCCAGAAUCCUUCUGAAAUAUUUAUCCAAACCUAAACUAGCUAAGCCAUUAGUCUCCAAGCAAAAUCCUCUUCAGCUCAGACAGUCUCCAGAAGAAAACCUGGCAAUGAUGCAAAUGAUGGGGAAAGGGCAGAAGGGAAAGACAUUUAACAUCAACUAAUUCUGUAAGAUGCCAGAAAAGCAUCAGCUGUUUCAACCUCCUUCUGACUCCUGCUCUUCAGGCAGAAGCCGUGAGAGGGGCAGCAUCACUUCCCA